GGGCGCUUAGCUCAGCGGUAGAGCACCGUCUUCACACGGCGGGGGUCACUGGUUCGAGCCCAGUAGCGCCCACCA
rnacentral:tRNA from 1 species